rnacentral:lncRNA from 1 species
AGCUACUGAAUAUUCAAAGAAAAAGAGGAAUAGAGAAGGGAUCUGGAAACAAAGGAAGAGGAAACCAGAGUCUGGAAUAAGGUUGGAGGAAAGGAAUUGAAGACAAGAUCAGAAAGGAUAAUUACACAGCAAUAGUGACAAAAGGAAUCUACUGGAAAGAAACAAAAAGAGGAAUGGAGGAGGAAGCGAGCAUGGAGAAAACCAAAGAAGAGUGGUAAGCAGGGGGAAAUGGGAGAGAAAGGAGACAAGGACAAUUUUCUAAAUCUACGAAGGUAAGUUUUUUCUAUAUUAGUUGUUUGGUCUAACUCGUCUUAUGAAUCAAUGUUUCCUA